AUGCUCCCUUCAGCAGCACAUAUGUUAAAAUUGGAAUGAUAAAGAGAAUAUUAGCAUGCCCCCUGUGCAAGGAUGACAUGCAAAUUUGUGAAGCGUUCCAUAAUUAA